GGUAAUAGCUCAGUAGCAGAGCGCAUGCUUAGCAAGUAUGAGAUCCUAGGUUCUACCCCUAGUACCU
rnacentral:tRNA from 1 species